CCUAAGACAGGCGGCCGAGGUCAUUUGACCUCAUAGCCAAUCCCUGAGGACACUAGAAGGGGCCCUGGAAAUCACUCAGUUAAAUGUUUGCUUGUGAGGAAGCAAGAGGAAAAGUCAUUUUUGCCAGGAUUCCAAAGCUAAUUAGUGGCUGAAAGGGGACAAGAACCCCACCUCCCAGAUGCCAGGGAGACAGAAUGUACAGGGAGCUGGAGGGAAGACCCAGAAGGAAACCCCGUAUUCCCUGUGAAGAGCUGGCCUUGAGACCAGAGGGAAAGAGCUGGACUCUGCUGUCUGUGGGUCCCUUCCCAGGCAAUUCUAAAUAAUGUUACUGAUACAUAUUCCACCCCCCCCCCGAAUAAUCUUCUGUUGGCCUGAGUUCUAAGCAAUUGUGCCUACUGUUGAGUUUAAUAUUAUAUACUUAAGCCUGAAUGAGCACAUUCUUGUUGUUUAUCCUUAAAUAAUGUAUUCCGCAUGGAAGUUAACUUGGCUGUCAACUCUCUAGGGCUCAGCUACACGUGUUUUGUUUCCAAAAAGCGCAUGAGAAGCAGACAAUGAAAACGAUUGUAGACAGAGGCACAAACUUGAGUGACUUUAAUUCUGUUGCUCUAUGUGACCAUACAAAAAUAUUUGCAAACUGUCAGAAGCCACCUUAAACAGGGUGCACAAUGCUUUAAAAUUGUUCCUUGAAGAUCAGUGCGAAGAAAUUGUAGAGAAGGCUGUUACGUCUGCCAAAGGGAAAAAAGUGAGGAAAUGGACAGUUACAUAAAAAAGAGAAUCAAAUUCAAGGAGGAAAUGUUAGAAGAAAUGGCCAAAGGUGUUGGUCUUACAUUGCCAGAUGAAAUUACAAGGGCUGUAUUUGAAGCCCGAGUCACUUUCACUGGGAACUGGACAAGAACACAAUGGCUUGGAUAAGUCCAUUUGCUGUCAUUUAUCCAUUUUCUGUGAUUUUUGCAGAAGAAAAACUUGAGAACCAAAUACAACAGAAAUUUCGCGAUAAGCUUCCUGGUGAUGGGUUUUUAGUGAAAAUUUUUCAGUUGUGGAGACAUCUGAAAGCUGCUAGAAUCCAUCCUGAAGAAACAAAGAAGGGGGCUGUUUUGCCGUUUCUGGAAUUUGCUGUCACAUAGGAUUCACAUGAGUCUCUGCCAAAUUUAUCCUUAUGCUUAAGACUUCCCUGAACUACUUACAUGUCUCUUGUUACAGGUAAAAAAAAAAACUUGAGAAAUUAAAAUGGAUGAAAAAUAUUCUUCAAUCAACUAUGAGUUGGAUUGAUAAAUCUGGUUCUGCUGCCUAUUGAAUGUGAAUAUACAAGAUCAAUUUGGAUGCAAUCAUUGACAAAUUUGCAAAAGUCCCCAAAACAAAAACUGGUAUGUUCUCUGUUACCAACAUACCGGCAAAAGGUUUUGCCCUUUUCUUUAAAAAAAAAAAAAACAACACCUAAUUUAAAAGUAUCUACUUUUCCCCUUUUUUGGUAAUGUAGUAUUUAUUUACUUGUUUAUUCAUUUAUUUAUUUAACUGCCUUGAUUAUAUACGUCAAGUUUAAUAAAAGAAAAAUUUCACUAUCUGCA
rnacentral:lncRNA from 1 species